rnacentral:rRNA from 1 species
CUGGCGGUAUGCUUAAGACAUGCAAGUCGUACGGAAGUCUUCGGACUUCAGUGGCGGACGGGUGAGUAACACGUGGGAAUCUACUUAGUAGUGGGGGACAGCCCGGCGAAAGCCGGAUUAAUACCGCAUACGCCCUAAGGGGGAAAGCAGCAAUGCGCUAUUGAAUGAGCCCGCGUAAGAUUAGCUAGUUGGUGGGGUAAAGGCCCACCAAGGCGACGAUCUUUAGCUGGUCUGAGAGGAUGGCCAGCCACAUCGGGACUGAGACACGGCCCGGACUCCUACGGGAGGCAGCAGUCGGGAAUAUUGGACAAUGGGCGCAAGCCUGAUCCAGCAAUACCGCGUGUGUGAAGAAGGCCUGCGGGUUGUAAAGCACUUUCAGUGGGGAAGAUAAUGACGUUACCCACAGAAGAAGCACCGGCUAACUCCGUGCCAGCAGCCGCGGUAAUACGGAGGGUGCAAGCGUUAAUCGGAAUUACUGGGCGUAAAGCGCACGUAGGCGGCCUUUUAAGUCAGAUGUGAAAUCCCCGGGCUCAACCUGGGAACUGCACCUGAUACUGGGAGGCUAGAAUGUGGGAGAGGAGAGUAGAAUUUCCGGUGUAGCGGUGAAAUGCAUAGAGAUCGGAAGGAAUACCAGUGGCGAAGGCGGCUCUCUGGACCAACA